UACGUAGGGUGCGAGCGUUGUUCGGAAUUACUGGGCGUAAAGGGCUCGUAGGCGGCCAACUAAGUCAUACGUGAAAUCCCUCGGCUUAACCGGGGAACUGCGUCUGAUACUGGAUGGCUUGAGUUCGGGAGAGGUGAGUGGAACUGCGAGUGUAGAGGUGAAAUUCGUAGAUAUUCGCAAGAACACCAGUGGCGAAGGCGGCUCACUGGCCCGAUACUGACGCUGAGGCACGAAAGCGUGGGGAGCAAACAGG
rnacentral:rRNA from 1 species